rnacentral:misc_RNA from 1 species
GAUGUGGGCAAUGAUGAUCCUGAUGAGAAAGCAACUGGCUGUGGUGUUGCAGGAGAAGUCCGGAAAGGCACAGCAGCAGGCCGCACUGGAGUAAAAACAGGAGGGCCAGGGGGAGUGCUUAAAUGAGGAAUUGGCUUUCCAACCAAUGGUGAUAGUAAAUUUGGAGGUUUGAUCGAGGGGGAAGGGUUCUGAUCUUGUUGCAAAUUCGGAGAAGGAAAUAUAGCGGCUCCAGGGAACAUUGGAAGAGAAGGAGGAGUUUUCUCAGGUUGAGGUGUGGACGCAUCACGAUUUGUGGGAGUGUCAGUCGGAGGAUAUCCAAGAGAAUAUUGCGGUGGAUUAGCCAUUGAAGUUCAAAGUUUUCUUAAUUGAAGAGCAAAAACUUUCAAGAACUCAAAACCAAAUAUGAGAUUUAUAAAAAGCUAUAAACAAUUCAAUCCGAAAAUGACAAGAGAUUCAGAGUAAGGGGUUUGAGACUGCACUUAACUUCAACG